AUGCGGGGCUGUGCGUGCGCUCCCACUAGGAGGAGAAUGCCGUUUCCUCUCCGCAGGCUUUUUAGCACUGCGGGCACUAAUUUGUGCAGGGGGCUGCCUCGCAGUCCCCGAAGGAACUUGAGAUCCCGCAAAUGUACUCGCUACAUUUGCCCUCCCCCUACCCCCAAAUGCAAGGACCCCCGUCCUCCACCCUCCGGGCCCACGGGAGAGCGCACACACAAUAAGAGGCCUGGCCCGGCCACUCCUUCUGGGCGCAGACUUGGUCCCCGUUCCGCGGCCAGUUCUGACAAUGACCAGCACCUCGCCCGGCCCCUGCGCCCUGGUUCUCCACUAACAACGCGGCGGCCGGGAGCCUUGGCGCCCCGCUCGCCCGACUCCCCGUUUCCAGCGCGGCGGUGGCACCAGACAAAAGAGGCAGGUGCCCGCGGCCCCGGGGCCGCCCGCACACAGCGCCCCCGGCCGGGGCAGGACCGGGCAGCGCCUUUCGAGGAACGGCAGGCUGGGCGGCGGCGGCCAAGGGGCGCCCACCGGCCCUCCGCGCCCGCGCUUCCCCGGCGCCCCGCGACUGCGGGAAGAGCGGGCUCGGCCCGGCCCCCGGCGGGACCCCCGGCAGGCCCUCCCCACUGCUCCCUUCCCCAGGCGAAGGCAAACCACGCACCGGUCCGCGGAGAGACGCCGCCGGGGGUCUUUGUGGCCGCGCUCGGGCCGCCUCGUGCGCUGUCCUCGCCGGGCUGGGCGCGGCCGGGCCACGGGGCUGCGGGGCCGGGGCUGGGCGGCGGCGGCAGGAGCGCGGGCGUCUGGGCUGCAGCCGCUAGAGCAGGGAUGCGCCUCGGCCGGUCCUCAUUGAAAUGCGGCGCUUCGCACAGCCUCACUCCUGCCUCUCUCCGGAGGAGGGCGGCGGCGGCGGGCGCGCUCCCUUUUCUUGUGGCUGGCUCGCUCGCCCGCCCCGCUCCUCCUGCUCCUCCUCCGCGUGCGCGCCCCGCGCCCCCGCCCCUCCAGGCCGGGCGCACCCACCACGGCUGCGCCCCGGGCCCCCGCCUCCCGCGCCCUAGCCUGCCACGGCGACCUCGGUGCGUCUGGCUAGACAAACCCCCUGACCUCCCCGGGCCCCGGGAGUGGUUGUCUGGAGACAGGGGGCGGUCGGUGGUGGACCUGGGGGCCGGGAGAGAGAACGUGGACCGGGUCUGA
rnacentral:lncRNA from 1 species